UUACAACGGUCAUUGUCAGUUGACUGAAUGUUGUGAUGUGAUAGUAUUUUUCUUUGUCAUUUAUCAUAUUCAUUGCAUAAUUGAACACUAAAAUGUUAAGAAUACCAAUACGAAUGCUACGUUUUCAAUCAAUCGGUGCCAUAAACUGUUUGCAUUCUAAAGGUUUUAAAAAUUUUGGUCAUAAAAAACAACCUGUGCCCACCGUAACCUUAAUAUGGCAUGGGUACUUAACAUUUAUGUUUAUCGGCCUUUGCGUUAAUUGGAAAAGGGUUGGGAGUUUUAUAUUUGGCGAAGAUGUGGAACAGCCAACAUCAACCGAAUAAAAUACGCAUCGACUAUAAUGUAAAGUGGUAGAAGAUUAUACAGAUGACCUUAGAAGCUACAAAAACGAUUUCAAUUGUUUCGACAUUAAUGGUCGCAGUCAGAUUUACCUGAUGAUGAUGAUGUAAAUAAGCAGUUAAGAAUUACGUACACAAUAAUGAAAUUAUUUUCUACAUAAUUCUUCAAUAAAUUCUAUCUAUAAAAGAUAUAUGUUUUCAUCAUGACUCUACCACCAGGUAUACUAUUGUUUUGAGAAAGCCAUGUAGUGUAGGAAUCACAAACCUUAAUUAAUUAAAACAUGAUUAUAAUUUCCUUAGCAAAAGGAUUGGUAUAUGGCAAAAUAUAUAUUAGCAUAAGAGGUUAGAAGAGUGUAGGCACACAUAUUAUAUAUUUAGGCUAGCAGAAACCCUAAUUUUUUAAAUAUUAAAAAUAAACCAAGGUUUUAAUAAGG